GAUGAACGCUGGCGGCGUGCCUAAUACAUGCAAGUCGAGCGAAUGGAUUGAGAGCUUGCUCUUAAGAAGUUAGCGGCGGACGGGUGAGUAACACGUGGGUAACCUGCCCAUAAGACUGGGAUAACUCCGGGAAACCGGGGCUAAUACCGGAUAACAUUUUGAACCGCAUGGUUCGAAAUUGAAAGGCGGCUUCGGCUGUCACUUAUGGAUGGACCCGCGUCGCAUUAGCUAGUUGGUGAGGUAACGGCUCACCAAGGCAACGAUGCGUAGCCGACCUGAGAGGGUGAGCGGCCACACUGGGACUGAGACACGGCCCAGACUCCUACGGGAGGCAGCAGUAGGGAAUCUUCCGCAAUGGACGAAAGUCUGACGGAGCAACGCCGCGUGAGUGAUGAAGGCUUUCGGGUCGUAAAACUCUGUUGUUAGGGAAGAACAAGUGCUGGUUGAAUAAGCUGGCACCUUGACGGUACCUAACCAGAAAGCCACGGCUAACUACGUGCCAGCCGCCGCGGUAA
rnacentral:rRNA from 1 species